UCGCCCUCUGGCCUGGUCGGUGCUCCCUCCCUCUCCGGCUCUCCCUCCGCCCCCCAAGCCCAAAUCACCGCGCCCCGCCCACAGCACCGGUUGCGUGGGAGGAAGGAGAAAGGAAGGAGAGGGGAGGCGGCUGUCGGGCGAGAUGAGCGACUCCCAAGCCCAAAUCACCGUCCGCCGCCGCAAGGUAAGUUCCUGCCCAUCCCACCGUGUGUGUUUGCAGAGGAGAUCCUCCGCCGUCUCAUGGCCCUAUUCGGUUCAGACCUAGCUCCCCCCAUCGCCCGUCCGUCCUUCCGCACUUGACUGCUCUCAAACCCUAACCCUCGCCGCCGGUCCUUGUCACCCCGUCGUCGUGCCCAUUGGCAGGCCUCGGCGACCUCCGUCCGCCGCACGUGGUAAGGCCCCCACCCAUCCCAAUGUGUCCCCCCCGGUGAGAGGUGGUUCCGGUCGCCCAGCGCGCGAUCCUUCUCGGGCUGGGUCCCACGUUCUCCUCAGAGGAUGGCAUGAUGAAAGUGGGCUCGUGCUCACGAACCAUACUUGACUCCGGGUUUGUGCAGUGUGCUCUUAGCGGCGUCGGUCAGACCAUCCGCCUCUCUCCUUCCAGCAUCAAGGUAACCUCUCCUUAUUUAGUACGUUUGUAUCAAGAAAACAGUGUUCCAUGUUCCAUCACAAAUGCAAAGAGGGUUCUCACGGAAACAGGAUGCCUCACACCGAUGGAGUUGGCUCUUUGCUACAUAUUAAGCAAAUAGUGUAUUUGUGUUGUUACUGCUUGGACUUUUAAACAUUUGCUCUCUAUAAUAUAUACUGAUUUAGUCAUAUCUUUUAUUUGUAGUAGGUUGCUUUUAUGGCAUCUUGAUCCAUCAAUUAUUAGGCUUGAUCUCUCAGUGAUGCUCAAGGAGUACUUGAUGAUGAGGCCGUCAUGAGGAAACAACUCCACGAGGCGAGAGAACAGCUAGUGAGACAAAGUUUGGAGGAAGGAACUUAGAAUUUGCUAAUCCUGAAGAAAGCUUAUUGUUUUUUCGACUGAACCAACAAUUAUAUUUGGUGCUGAUGUCACUCACCCUGCUGCUCUAGAUGAUACUUCCCCGUCCAUUGCUUCUUUAAGCUCUUUUUCCGUUUACAAUACGGAUAGUACCAUCUUAUUACAAUAACACUUUAUGCCUGGUGGUUCCUUGUAGGUUGUUGCCUCCCAAGACUGGCCCUAGGUGGCUAACUAUAAUGGCAUUAUCCGUGCACAAGGUCACCGUCAAGAGCUCAUCGAUGGGCUGGAAAACAUUGUCAAGUACGAUCAUCAUCACCAUCUCUGAAAUUCAAAUGGCACCCCAUACCCGAUUGAGAGAGUUCCUUAAUUUGCAAAAUAUUUUUAGGGAACUCCUACUUGCAUUCGUGGAACGGUCUAAGCAGAGACCCAAGCAGCUGAUCUUCUACAGGAUAGUAGUAUCUUCCUCCAAACUUUUCUGACUGACAUGCAAUGGUAAUUGACUCCCUCUUUCACCGUUAGGGAUGGCGUAAGUGAGGGCCAAUUCAAACAAGUGCUGGAGCAAGAAAUCCAUGAGAUAGAGAAGGCAUGGACAGCUCUUUACAAUGAGAAGCCAAAGAUCACCUUCGUAGUGGUGCAGAAGAGGCACCACACAAGGCUCUUCCCCAGCAAACCAAAGGAUCGCCAAUACGCGGACAAGAGUGGGAAUAUUCGAGCUGGUUAGGGAUGCAGGCGCAUUUGCUGUUAUUUUUACAAUGCUUUUGAUGAAACGUUUAUGGAAUUUGCAGGCACCGUAGUUGAUAAUAAUAUCUGCCACCCAACAGAAUUUGAUUUCUUCCUGUGCGGCCAUGCUGGGGCCAAGGGAACAAGCCGUCCUACGCAUUACCAUGUGCUACGAGAUGACAACAAGUUCACCGCAGAUGCUCUGUAGUCUCUAACAUAUAACUUGUGCUACAUGUAAGCAUGCCCUUCCCUUCCUUAUGUUACUACGGUAGGUGUCCACACCCACAUGGUUCUGCCGCGCCUCCGCAUCCGCCCACAUUCGCCCGUGGUCGCACCCCGCCCCGCAUCUCGCCGGCAGCCCCGCCGCCCUCCCGCGCUCCAUCCCUCCAUCCAUCCACCGACAGCCCCGCAUCCUCGCCUCGCUCACCUCCUCCGCCGGUCUGACCACUACACUCGGCCCAUCAUGUUGAAGCUCGCGCUCGCGGAACAAGAAGGGGAGCACUAGAUGGUUAUCAUGUGCGCUAGGGUCCUCGUCGCUGCGCCCCCAGCCGUCGUAUCUUGAGAGGGAGCGGGCCGGCGCCGGCUGGCCACUAGAGGCCUCUUUUUGCUUCACCUCACCUGCCACCUCCUGGCCUAGCCUUUCUUCCUUCAUUCCCUUGGCUUGCCUGGUGUAUCUACUACCUCUAUUUCUUCUUCUAUUCCUCAUCGUCGCUUCCCUCCUCUGUUGGGCGUCUUCCUGCUCCCUUCAGCCCUCGCCUCCCAAAAACAGACAAGACCUGACAGCAGGUCCUAAAGGCUGUCACAAACCUUUAUGAGGCUCUGGACAACUGUGAUGGUAUUCUAAGCAGGUAGCGCUUUUUAUGCAGCAAUCAAUUUACAGAGCAGAUGCUCUCUUGUUGACAACUCUCAUAAGAGUCGAUAAGUUUGUAGGUGUAACCCAAUGUAUCUUCAGCAGUUCUAAAGGACUGAACAUGUUACUAGAAAGAGGUGAAUGAAAGGACUACAGAGAGUUGUGAAAGAGGAAGCGGUGCGGGCUGGUGGAGUACCAGACGCUGCCGGCUUACCUGCGGGACAACGAGUACAUCCACCGCCACUACCGCUGCGAGUGGCCGCUCCUACAGCGUGAUCCGGCCCGAGGAGAUUCCGAAGGUCUUGGAAAUCAGCGGCGAGCGCAGCCUCAUCGACAAUUUUUUCUCCUACCACGUGUAAUAAUCACGGUACACAAGUUUUCCUCGAAUUUAUAUUCUAUGCUUUGUUUUUUGGUUUAUUUUUCUUUUUGUUUCAUACUUCCUGCAAAAUAAAGCUAUAUAUACUUCAUAUUAAAAACAUUCCUAUGUAUAUGUAAUUCAUGCCUAAGUUCAUGUUCCUUUUAACUUUUUCACCAUGGUUUUUAUGCCUCCAUGGAAUGUCUAAUAGGAUUUCCAGCAUAUUUUUCGUACCUACAAAUUUCACACCAGGAAUUGAAAAUAUUGAUGAAUAAUCUAGCAUAGGAUCUGCACCUCUGGAUAAGUAUAUUUCUGCCACUUAUGUUUCUAGCAUGUCACUUGGCUGGUAUGAGGCUAAAAAGAGAUUUGUUAGCUCCUGUGAAUCUGGGCACUGCUUCACCAUUUUGUGACUUUGAUAUGCUUAUUAUGUUUAGUGAACUCAAUUUUCUAUGUUCCAACCACUGCUCUUAAUUUUUAUACUUGCAGUCUGUAGAUCUUGUUUUCUGUUGAUUCACUUGUAAUUAAACUGUUUGGAUCACUAGAUUGGUAGGAUAAAACUGGAAGAAUUGAGAAUGGCAUGUCGUUGGGCCUCAUUUUUGCACAAGAUUCGACUGUUCAUUUGGUUUGAAUGUUUGUAUUAUAUAUUAAUACAUUAUUGAUUCAAACCUAAAAUGCAUUGUUAUGUUUAUGCUUUAUAUUUUUAUUAUGAAGUUGUGAUUUAUUUCAGUUGCAUUGUUUUGAUUUAUUCAUGAUUAAGAAAUCAUAUUUCAUGUUAUAAACCUCAAAUCUAUGAUUUUUUGGGUUUAUUUUUCUUUGUUGUUUCAUACUUCCUUCAAAUGUGGAGAUUACAUGGCUUUUUUGAUGUUUUGAUUUAUUUCACACAUAUCUCUACUACUCUAUAUGACCCUAUUGUGGGUGUUCACAUGCUUCACCGUUGCCCCCGCCACACUGCCGUCCACACUGUCCUCUGCUUGACCAUGCCCCCGCCAUCACCGCCCUUCCCCACCAUCCUCGCCCUUCCCCAGAUCGCGGCGCCUUCCAUCGUCGCCAUCCACUGCAACCCUCGUUCCCCAAAUCACAGCACCUUCCAUCGUCGCCAGCGCGGGGCCCCGACAUUGACGACAGCGUGUGGCCCUGACAUCGCCCCAAAUCGCUCGCCCAUCACCGAGGAUGGCGGUCCUUCUCACCUCCCUGUUAUCCCCGCCCCAAAUCGACGCUAACCUCCCAUCAACGAGAAUCAUGCAGCCCAAAUCCUCGCCCCAAAUCGACGCCAACUCCCAUCGACGCCAAGGAUGGUGGUCCGUAAAUACCAUGCCACCCCAAGACACAGAUUUGGGGCCACCCCAAUCCCCAUCCUCAAUUGUGCUCUCUAAGGAAUACUGAUGCUUUAGCGUCAACUUUGGCUCUCCAAUACUUUACAAGGUAUAUACAAUUUAUUAUGGGUUAUGGGUUACGGGGGCUUUGAGUCUUUGAUCUGACGAUAUAUUACGGGAGCUUCGAGUCCUCAAUCUGGUAGUUGUGGGAUAUGCUUGUAGCCAGUCGUUCUGAUGAUUCCAAUAGGCUCUUUCUUAGGGUUGGAUCUCCUCAUGGUUUUCUUUUAAUUAAAUAAGUCUGGUGCAGACACUAAUUUCUAUGAAUAUAACCUAUCCAUCAUUGUUUCACUUCAAGUCUGGCACUGCCAUGUCUCUGUAUGCUUGAUAGUCUGUCUAAACCUUGGAGUAGCAGAUUGCCAUGGGUUGUUGUAUCGAUGAUGCUUAAGUACGGGUAAGCUAGAUAGGGAUGCAAGUAGCAGAUUAUGCUAGAUUCUUGCACAAGGAAAAUUAUGUAGUAUCGUGGGGGUAACAAGUAGGUUCCUUUUUUGAAGGUACACGUGAUCAUGCCUAUACUAUGCUAGAUGCUCGAUCAGUUCAAAAACAUUUGUGUGGGGGAGCUGUCUUUAUUCUUGUUUAUUUAUCAGUUCAAACAGAUUGUCAUGAACAUGCUUGAUUGCCUUCAUUUGACAGAGAAACCAAUAGUAUAUAAAAUCAUGGGCAGAGGUCCCCGAACCAUGGUGUACUAUAGUGGGCCUUUGUACUCUGUAUCUAAUCAUCUAACCUUAGAUGCAGGCAUUAGUUUAUGCGUUGAUACCGUCAUACGCCGUUGUUUCAUGACAAUGCCCAUCAAGCAGACAAAGAGUGACGACGACACUAGCUCACAUAUGAAGUGCAAAGGGUUUUCUUCCUUCUUGCAUGUUGGUGUAAAGAGUAGGUAAACCUGCUUGCGCGAUGGUACAAGCAGCAUCAACAGAGGUAUAGGGAAAUUUUUGAACUGUAACAAGUUGCGGACCCUUGACUUCAAUAAUUGUGAUGUUCAAACCUUCCCUGUCAUCAUGGAUUUCCUGAAACUCUUUUCUUCAACUUUGGAACUCCUUUGUUUAUAAAAUCUACAGACUCUGGAACUGUUGUGGUAUAAUGGGCAGACAAUGGAAAUGUUGUUCACCUUCAAUUCUCAGAGGACCUACCACUAUUGUAUUGUCAAUUGUUUUGCUGUUUGGAGACCACAAGGCUUGACUCAGUAAACACCACUAUUUGACCGAGGUGAAUCUAGGUGACCACAAUCUAUGCUCUUCUAUUAUGUUCUUUAUUUUAACUGAACAAUGUAAAAAAUUAUUGAAUGAUUGUUGAGGUGUUGAUUGUUAUAUGUUUAAAGCAUUACAUAUGUUGAUUAUGUUAGUGAGUGUGCUAUCUAUUGAAUGAUGAUGUGAAGCAAUGGACCUGGAGACAUGUUCUUUUAAGCCUUGAGCGUGUAUGCGUUCGUGUACUUUCUGUUAAUGAAAUUCUUUCCAAUAUACCAUGUUAUUUUUCUUGUAAAUAAUCUAUUUACUAUUUUUCAUACAACUGCUAAGUGAAAUAGCUUUUGCCAUAACUUUUUUAAAAUUCUUCGAAGAGGCCGCCACUAAAUGGCUCCACGAAUAAAUGGGUGUGAAGUCUUGGAUGCUUGGUUUGCUCACAGGGAUCAGGCUGUGGAGUACGGAGUUCACAAGAUCUAGGAGAUCAACAACCUCGAGGAUGGGAGGAUAUAGAAGGAGAAAAUGUCUUCAGCCAGCAAUAGGGUGAGAACAGACUUGCCGAACAUGAAGGAAGGGUUGCAGCUGGAGCCUGACAAUAGCGGUGUUCUAAGUUGUGGAUACUGGACACUGCUGUUGGAAUACUAGAGCGACAUGAUGUUGUAAGGGAUCUAGAGAGGAAGCUUCUGGAGUUGCAAUAGGUGAUGCCUUCUUAUUUACUCCUUUUUUGGCACAAGGUCUUCUCUGUAUCAUAUAGUAUGUUACAAAAGCUAUGGCCAUUCAAUGAACAUAGUUCCUCUCAAUAUGCAACUUCAAGUGCAGCGCUACAAGAUUCUACUUCAUAGAGCUGUAUACAUGAAAACAAACAACUCCAGAACAUGUCUUCUCUCCCAAGCUUCAUGGUAGAUACCCAUGUACAAUUCUAAUUGCAGUGACAUGUUACAAAUUUC